rnacentral:misc_RNA from 1 species
GAAAUGCGAUAAGUAAUGUGAAUUGCAGAAUUCAGUGAAUCAUCGAAUCUUUGAACGCACAUUGCGCCCGCCAGCACUCUGGCGGGCAUGCCUGUUCGAGCGUCAUUUCAACCCUCAGAACCCCUUGCGGGAUCUGGCGUUGGGGAUUGGCAUCCAGCCAGCCCCGAAAUCUAGUGGCGGUCCCUCCGCGACCUCCCCUGUGCAGUAGCGAUACCUCGCAGCGGGACAGCGGUCUGACCACGCCGUAAAACCCCCAACUUCGCAAGGUUGACCUCGAAUCAGGUAGGAAUACCCGCUGAACUUAAGC